rnacentral:rRNA from 1 species
UACGUAGGGACCGAGCGUUGUCCGGAAUCAUUGGGCGUAAAGAGCGUGUAGGCGGCUUGUUAAGUCUUGCGUGAAAUCUCGGGGCUCAACCCCGAGCGGUCGUGAGAAACUGGCAGGCUAGAGUGCGGGAGGGGAGAGUGGAAUUCCUGGUGUAGCGGUGAAAUGCGCAGAUAUACAGGAGGAACACCCGUAGUGGCGAAGGCAGGUCUCUG